UGUGUCUCUCUCUCUCUCACAAACAUCAAGUCAUCAAGACUUUCCUUAUUUGGUUGUUCAAGGGGUGAAAGGUCGCCGUUUCGGCACUGUGGAGUUGCUCAGGAAACGUCAGGUCUCUCUCUGGCAACGUGUCACCGACAACUGUACGUCUUCUUCUGCAUGAUGCAGAGAGAGAAAGAGGUGGAGAAGGAGAUAAGAUCAUAAGUAAGAGCAGUAGCAGUGAAUGAAGAGAGAGAGACACAGAGAGAGGGAAGAGAGGGUACACAGCUUUUUGGUAUUGGGUUUUGUGGAGGUUGUUUCUCUUUUUUAUUUCUUUUCUUUCUUGGCCUGCAGAGCAAACCCUAAAUCCUCAUUGGCGUCUUACCCAUUGAUUUCUCUUACACCAAAACAGCAGGAACCGUAGAUUUUUGCGGCUUUUGGUAGGUUUCCUUAUAUGGGUUUCUUUCUGUGUUCUCAGAUCUGACUCACAUAACAUCGAUCAUUCUCUUUCUCUCAGGUUACCUUUUUCUAGUUUUGCUUUCCUCCCAGUUUCCACUCCCUUCAUUUCUUUGUUAUUAAUCAAACUUUGCGAUUUGUGACUUUAAUUUCUUGUGCCGUUGGUUGUGAAUUUGGUUGGAACAGAGAUGGAAAUUGACAGAAGAGAGUGAGCACACAGAGGCACUUGGCAUAAAGCGUAUGCUAUUGCUUUUGCGUGCUCAUGUCUCUUUCUGUCAGCUUCCCAGUUCCACUGCCGGAUUAUUUUAAUUUCUUAUUUACUUCUCAUCCAUCUCUGGCCUGUGUUUCUUCCACUACUUGUAUUCUCUCUCUCUCUCUCUCUCUCUCUCUCUCGCUCCAAAUCUUUAAUCUUAAAGCCUUUGUGGGGCUUCAAAGCAACGCUUAAUUUGCUACUUUGAAAUCGUUGACUUUGCAGGAACGCUUAAGGAUUCAUUUUCGAACCGUCAACACAUUAUCAAGUUGAAGUUGGUUUCAUAUGUAAGACAGACGAUUAAUUUCGAGAUGAAAGAGGCUUUUGGCAAACCAGUAAUACUGAGAAAGACUGGAUAUUGUCGCCGUGCUGUCGAUGCUUGAUCAUCAAUAAUAAUCACCUUGUGCUGUUGGACGUUAACCUUGGAGCUAGCUCUCGUCCUUAGCAGCGGAUGAAGUCAAAACAAUAUCUUUAUAAACAGUUCGGCUAUAAAUCAGUAGCUGUAAUGUAAAAGCACAGUUUGUUUUUUAUAUCUAUUUUGAUUUUGAUUUGUGAAGAAAUUCGAUUUUGGAGGUGGUUUUUCUUUCUGUUUUAGAAGCAAGGAAACAGUAAU